UAGUCCACGCCGUAAACGAUGGAUGCUAGCCGUUGGGCAGUUUACUGUUCAGUGGCGCAGCUAACGCAUUAAGCAUCCCGCCUGGGGAGUACGGUCGCAAGAUUAAAACUCAAAGGAAUUGACGGGGGGCCCGCACAAGCGGUGGAGUAUGUGGUUUAAUUCGAUGCAACGCGAAGAACCUUACCAGGACUUGACAUCCCUCGAACUUUCUAGAAAUAGAUUGGUGCCUUCGGGAGCGAGGAGACAGGUGGUGCAUGGCUGUCGUCAGCUCGUGUCGUGAGAUGUUGGGUUAAGUCCCGCAACGAGCGCAACCCACGUCCUUAGUUGCCAUCAUUAAGUUGGGCACUCUGGGGAGACUGCCGGGGACAACCCGGAGGAAGGUGGGGACGACGUCAAGGUCAUCAUGGCCCUUACGAGUAGGGGCUACACACGUGCUACAAUGGCGCAUACAGAGGGCAGCCAACUCGCGAGAGUGAGCGAAUCCCAAAAAGUGACGUCGUAGUCCGGAUUGGA
rnacentral:rRNA from 1 species